rnacentral:rRNA from 1 species
AUUGAACGCUGGCGGCAGGCCUAACACAUGCAAGUCGAACGGUAACAGGAAGCAGCUUGCUGCUUUGCUGACGAGUGGCGGACGGGUGAGUAAUGUCUGGGAAACUGCCCGAUGGAGGGGGAUAACUACUGGAAACGGUAGCUAAUACCGCAUAACGUCGCAAGACCAAAGAGGGGGACCUUAGGGCCUCUUGCCAUCGGAUGUGCCCAGAUGGGAUUAGCUAGUAGGUGGGGUAACGGCUCACCUAGGCGACGAUCCCUAGCUGGUCUGAGAGGAUGACCAGCCACACUGGAACUGAGACACGGUCCAGACUCCUACGGGAGGCAGCAGUAGGGAAUAUUGCACAAUGGGCGCAAGCCUGAUGCAGCCAUGCCGCGUGUAUGAAGAAGGCCUUCGGGUUGUAAAGUACUUUCAGCGGGGAGGAAGGGAGUAAAGUUAAUACCUUUGCUCAUUGACGUUACCCGCAGAAGAAGCACCGGCUAACUCCGUG